UAACGGCAGCCCCAUCGUAGACAGGGACAUUCGCAUCCCGAGCCCUGGAUCUCUGAAAACCAGCCCAGAAUUUGGAAGCUGGAAGGAACUUUAGAUCGUCCAUUCUGAGUGUCUCUCUUCGCUGGCGUUUUCCCACUGAGGUUAUGUAAACAUGAAGAGGAGCCUACAAGUGUCAAGGAAAAAACGACAGCUAACCACAGGGCAGGCCAUGGGCAAGAUAUCUCAGUGUUCUCCGCUCUCAUAGGUCAGGCUGGAGUGCAGUGGCACGAUCACAGUUCACUGCAGCUUUGUUCCUGGACUCAAGUGAUCCUCCCACCUCAGCCUCCCAAGCAGCUGGAACUACAGCCCACAGGGGAGAUGGUCAGGCCAGUGUGGGGGCUAAUGAAUAAAUGCUACACUGUGCCCACUCAGAGACGCAAAGUCAAGAGUAGGAAGAAGCCAACCUCUGAGGUCACGACCCCCAGGAGACCUGGAGGACUGAAUGCUGCUGCCCCCAAGGAGGAGGCUGCCGUCUUAUCCCAGGAGGGAGAGCAGGAAAAUAAAAAGGUUCAAAAGGAAGUUGCUGCGUAUCCAUCUGAGGCCUCUGAGGACAGCAAAGAGCAAAGGCCCUGGGACCGGGUCUACGUGCCCAUGACAGAGCUCUGGCUGGACUGGUUCUGAGC
ensembl:lncRNA NDUFA6-DT NDUFA6 divergent transcript